rnacentral:rRNA from 1 species
GUCUAUGACCAUGCCACCCUGAAUGCGCCCGAUCUCACCUGAUCUCAGAAGCUAAGCAGUGUCGGGCCUGGUUAGUACUUGGAUAGGAGACUACCUAGGAAUACCAUGUGCUGUAUGCG